rnacentral:lncRNA from 1 species
UGGUUCGUACGACAGUGGUUAUAGAUUGUACUAUGGUUUGGCCAGCCGAAAGUAGGCCUGAGAAAAUUACCGUAUUUGUAUAUGAUCUGGUAAUUCCAUUUAGGUAGUUUGAAAACUGUGUCUACCCUCAAAGAUGGAAGUUUGUAACGACUUAGGAAAGCAUGACACGAAAUAUCUGUACAUUUCAUGAUUUAUUUUAUUUUCUCUAUUAUUGGGCAUGAUAUACGUAUAUUUGAUUUUCUAUGCU